rnacentral:rRNA from 1 species
GACGAACGCUGGCGGCGUGCUUAACACAUGCAAGUCGAGCGGUAAGGCCCUUUCGGGGGUACACGAGCGGCGAACGGGUGAGUAACACGUGGGUGACCUGCCCUCAGCUCUGGGAUAAAGCCUGGGAAACCGGGUCUAAUACUGGAUAUGACUCCAUGACGCAUGUUGUGGGGUGGAAAGCCUUGUGCGGCUGAGGAUGGGCCCGCGGCCUAUCAGCUUGUUGGGGGGUGAUGGCCUACCAAGGCGACGACGGGUAGCCGGCCUGAGAGGGCGACCGGCCACACUGGGACUGAGACACGGCCCAGACUCCUACGGGAGGCAGCAGUGGGGAAUCUUGCGCAAUGGGCGAAAGCCUGACGCAGCGACGCCGCGUGAGGGAUGACGGCCU